rnacentral:rRNA from 1 species
CCUACGGGUGGCUGCAGUCGAGAAUCAUUCACAAUGGGGGAAACCCUGAUGGUGCGACGCCGCGUGGGGGAAUGAAGGUCUUCGGAUUGUAAACCCCUGUCAUGUGGGAGCAAAUUAAAAAGAUAGUACCACAAGAGGAAGAGACGGCUAACUCUGUGCCAGCAGCCGCGGUAAUACAGAGGUCUCAAGCGGUGUUCGGAAUCACUGGGCGUAAAGCGUGCGUAGGCUGUUUCGUAAGUCGUGUGUGAAAGGCGCGGGCUCAACCCGCGGACGGCACAUGAUACUGCGAGACUAGAGUAAGGGAGGGGGAACCGGAAUUCUCGGUGUAGCAGUGAAAUGCGUAGAUAUCGAGAGGAACACUCGUGGCGAAGGCGGGUUCCUGGACAUUAACUGACGCUGAGGCACGAAGGCCAGGGGAGCGAAAGGGAUUAGAUACCCGUGUAGUC